rnacentral:rRNA from 1 species
GAUUAGAUACCCCGGUAGUCCUGGCCGUAANCGAUGGGUACUAGGUGUAGGAGGUAUCGACCCCUUCUGUGCCGGAGUUAACGCAAUAAGUACCCCGCCUGGGGAGUACGACCGCAAGGUUGAAACUCAAAGGAAUUGACGGGGGCCCGCACAAGCGGUGGAGUAUGUGGUUUAAUUCGACGCAACGCGAAGAACCUUACCAGGUCUUGACAUUGAUGGACAGAACUAGAGAUAGUUCCUCUUCUUCGGAAGCCAGAAAACAGGUGGUGCACGGUUGUCGUCAGCUCGUGUCGUGAGAUGUUGGGUUAAGUCCCGCAACGAGCGCAACCCCUAUCUUAUGUUGCCAGCACGUAAAGGUGGGAACUCAUGAGAGACUGCCGCAGACAAUGCGGAGGAAGGCGGGGAUGGCGUCAAAUCAUCAUGCCCCUUAUGACCUGGGCUACACACGUACUACAAUGGGAGUUAAUAGACGGAAGCGAGAUCGCGAGAUGGAGCAAACCCGAGAAACACUCUCUCAGUUCGGAUCGUAGGCUGCAACUCGCCUACGUGAAGUCGGAAUCGCUAGUAAUCGCAGGUCAGCAUACUGCGGUGAAUACGUUCCCGGGCCUUGUACACACCGCCCGUCACACCACGAAAGUCGGAAGUGCCCAAAGCCGGUGGGGUAACCUUCGGGAGCCAGCC